GGUUCAGUCACUUUAUCACAUUUUUGACCUGAAUGACUGAAGAGAAUUAAUGCAGAAAACUGUGUUUAUCGUAAAUCUGUAAAAAAAAUGUUUUGAUGUGAAAAAUCCUGCAGGACAGCAUGAAAAAGAGAAUGAGAAUGACACAUUUUUAAUGUUGGUAAAAUAGUUUUAAAAACAACUUAAAACUUGAUGACAACAUUCAAACAUUUGCUUUCAGUUUGGAUUUCAGCAUUUGAGGUUAUUAAAAAGAGCAUUUGAUCUAAACAGAGUUCAGUGUUGAGCUGAAAAUGUAACAAAUCCAUGAUUAUGCUUUAACUUAAUUUAAAUACACGAUAUUGCUUUUGCAUACUGAAACAUUUCUGACCCCCCCCAUUCCAAAAUGAUUAUGGGAUGGCCACACCACCUGCGGCCAUUUUGUAGCAACAUUUCAGAUUUGCCAUUUUUUGUGUUUUCCCUCAAUAUGGGGAAAUUAAGCUUUCUUUCUUUUUUUUUUUUUUUUUUAGCUAUCUUCACAAAUUGUCACACACAUGCCGCCACCGUCAGCCUACAACCACCACAGGCAUUUGGUUGACCUCAGAAAAAGGCAGCCAUCUUGAAUUUUCAAAAUAAAACCGUUAAUUCCAGCUACAAUCAAAGACUCGUCAUUUUCUACGAUCGUUUCUAAUUUCUCAACCAUCAUUGCAUCAAUUGCAGAAAAGAAAAUGUUGCAGCUAGAAAUUGUAGAUUUUGGAUGGCGUGCUCGUAGCGUGGUGUUCUCCUUUUACUCGCACAUCUUUCAACAUAAACUUGUGAAAAUAUAAUAUAUUGAUACCAGGCUGAAGCUCAAACACAUAAAAUAACCGGAUACAAACAUAAAAGAAAAUAGUGGGCGUGGUUAGCAAAUAACCUCCGUUGCUAAGGAAAUCUAAAAAUAUAUUUUUGCUGAUUCUUCUAAAACUCACAUCUAUCUGUUCAGUAUCACAAGGCAACCAACACAUAAAAUAGUUGCUAUGGAGAUAAAACCAACAGAUAAUCCACCAUUUAAAAAAAGAGGUUUUUACAUUAAUUUGUCUGAGUUGAGUCCAGCCUUACAGAAGGAGAAGGGGCGGAGUCAGGGUGUGUAGUGCAGUCACUGGAACGGCGUCAGGAACUGAUUCUUCUUUGGUUUUGCUUCUGAGAGCUCCAAGAACAAGCCAGAUGAAGGCGUAGACGUUGUCCACCUGUUCAGACCGAACCUGAGGGAUUUCCUGCUGCGAGAGCAACCCGAGGCCGGUCUUUGACGAGCGGGAGAUCCUGUUUGAUGGUGGGAUGAAAACAGAUCUUCCUUCUACCGUCUGAGCAGAGUUUAAACAUCUCUGAGCUGGAGGAGCAGCCUGGCUGUGAAGCAGGAGACCACACCUGGAGACAGGUUCAGACCUCCUGAGUCUGCUGGUCCCAGAUAAAAGACGGCAGCAGCGAGCUGCACGCAGGAGGCCGCCGCCACCGCCGCCGCCCGCCUGCAGAGGCUCCUCGUGGCGUUGGAGGAAGUUAAUCUUUGGUAAUGACGGAUAAAGCUGGGGCUGCCGGCCUGUCAUUUCCUGCAAGGUGAAGAGGAGCGGAUCAGGGACGGUGAUGGAGGAGCUUCACGGCUUUCAGCCCGCAGACAUUUGUCUUUGCUGCCCUUGAGUUAUUGUACAGCUGUGUGGAAGCAAACGCCUUUUGACACUGAAGUGGGAGUGACAAUCAAACGUGAGUUAGCUCCUCUAGCAACCGCUGGUUUGUUCUUCUAUCACUAAUGUUCUGGUUCAGACAGUUGCUGCUUUUUCACACUGAAAUGUAUUAAAUAAAGUGUUUUU